ACUAUAUUGUAUGUUAACUACCGACGGUAGGUAUAGUCAAAUACUGUUGAUAGACAGUAUAUAGGAGCACUAUAUUGUAUGUUAACUACCGACAGUAGGUAUAGACACAUACUGUUGAUACACGGUAUAUAGGAGCACUAUAUUGUAUGUUAACUACCGACGGUAAGUAUAGACAAAUACUGUUGAUAGACUGUAUAUGGGAGCACUAUAUUGUAUGUUAACCACCGACGGUAGGUAUAGACAUAUACUGUUGAUAGAUGGUAUAUAGAAG
rnacentral:lncRNA from 1 species